rnacentral:rRNA from 1 species
UACGGGGGGAGCAAGCGUUGUUCGGAUUUACUGGGCGUAAAGGGCGCGUAGGCGGCCUGUGCAAGUCAGUUGUGAAAUCUCCGAGCUUAACUCGGAACGGUCAACUGAUACUGCUCGGCUAGAGUGCGGAAGGGGCAACUGGAAUUCUUGGUGUAGCGGUGAAAUGCGUAGAUAUCAAGAGGAACACCUGCGGCGAAAGGCGGGUUGCUGGGCCGACACUGACGCUGAGGCGCGAAAGCUAGGGGAGCGAACGGG